GCUGGGCCUGGCUCUGGGUCCUGGUGCGAAUGAGUCAGUCCGUGAUCCAGGGCAUGUCUUUAAUUAAGGGGACAAUUGCUUGGCUCCAGGAUGGGAGGUCCCCUCCCUGGCAGACCCUCCCCGUCCCGUGAAUCGUCUCUCAGCCUGUCUCGGAGCUGGGCUUCUUUCCUGUUCCUUGCUGAAGAGACAAGAUGUGGGCAAAUUGGAACAAGAGGUGGGGGAGGAGCCACCUUCUGUGAUCCCGUCUGGACAUUAAGAAGCGCUUCUCCAAGAAUCUGGAACUGGCUGCCAGCUGUUUUGUUCAUGACUGCUCAUAGGAGGCCCUUGACAAAGGUAAGUUGCCUGAAUGAACGACUACUGUGUACAGGUGGGUACAGGUAUUAACUUUCUAUUCCUGACGGCAUUUUACAGAGGAGGGGCUGGAAGUAUCCUAAGUGUCAGAGCUGGGAUUUGAACCCAGGGUGGACGUCUUCUACUGGCAAGUGUUUCUCUGAUUUCCCUCUUCGCCUGGAGUAUGCACGUCUAGAAUGGCCCGGAAGUGAGUUCAUCCAUCCUGCACCCCUGGUCAGGUGCUUCCCACCUCCCUGGCCAGGGGCCUCGAGGUCCCCGUGUUCGCGUCUCAGGUGUGCCAGCUCUGCCGCGGUCCCAGGCCCUGGGAACGGGUUGG
rnacentral:lncRNA from 1 species